AGGCGACGAUCCCUAGCUGGUCUGAGAGGAUGACCAGCCACACUGGAACUGAGACACGGUCCAGACUCCUACGGGAGGCAGCAGUGGGGAAUAUUGCACAAUGGGCGCAAGCCUGAUGCAGCCAUGCCGCGUGUAUGAAGAAGGCCUUCGGGUUGUAAAGUACUUUCAGCGGGGAGGAAGGGAGUAAAGUUAAUACCUUUGCUCAUUGACGUUACCCGCAGAAGAAGCACCGGCUAACUCCGUGCCAGCAGCCGCGGUAAUACGGAGGGUGCAAGCGUUAAUCGGAAUUACUGGGCGUAAAGCGCACGCAGGCGGUUUGUUAAGUCAGAUGUGAAAUCCCCGGGCUCAACCUGGGAACUGCAUCUGAUACUGGCAAGCUUGAGUCUCGUAGAGGGGGGUAGAAUUC
rnacentral:rRNA from 1 species